AGUCUUGUGGUGUAUAACACGUCGGAUUGCAAAUCCGAAGAAGCAGGCUAUCACCUGCCGGGGCUU